GAUGAAGAACGUAGCGAAAUGCGAUAAGUAAUGCGAAUUGCAGAAUCCGUGAGUCAUCGAAUCUUUGAACGCACAUUGCGCCCCUUGGUAUUCCAUGGGGCAUGCCUGUUCGAGCGUCAUUUGUACCUUCAAGCUCUGCUUGGUGUUGGGUGUUUGUCUCGCCUCUGCGCGUAGACUCGCCUCAAAACAAUUGGCAGCCGGCGUAUUGAUUUCGGAGCGCAGUACAUCUCGCGCUUUGCACUCAUAACGACGACGUCCAAAAGUACAUUUUUACACUCUUGACCUCGGAUCAGGUAGGGAUACCCGCUGAACUUAAGCAUAUCAAUAAGCGGAGGA
rnacentral:misc_RNA from 1 species